GGCUUGCAGGUUCUGACGUUUGUAUUGCUGUACUGUGGCGGCAUCAAAUGCAUCAGCAAACAGCAAAACUCUGUAGAAAUGACGCGCAGUGCUUGCACACACAAACAACUCAACAGUCAUCGAUGAACACUGAACAUGCAGCUAUAGAUUUGCUAUAGGACAGGCUCGCAGGGGCCGGCCUACCAGCCAUCCAUCGAUCGUGAGCUGUCUCGGAGGAGGCAGGCAUGGCAACAGACUGGGAACGUGGUGGCUCCGGUUCCAGCCUCUGGAUUUUGUCAGCUAUAAAAAUAGCAGGCGCCGUUCAUCUCUCUAUAACACACACACACACACACACACACACACACACACACACCCCAGUACACCUGCAGCACCGCCCCAAGCCUCGGCAUCUAGCUUUCUACCGUGCACGGUACUACAAGCCGGCAACUUUUCACCGUAACGAAAUGGCAUCCAAGGUCUUCCGCGCCGUCGUCGUCGCCGCGCUCGCCGCGUCCGCCCUCGCGGGGGUCGCCAUGGCCGCCGACGAGCCCGCGCCGAGCCCCACGUCCGGUGCCGCCGCCGUCUCGUCCUCGUUCGUCGCCGCCGUCCUCUGCCCCGCCGUGGCGCUCCUCUUCGGCAGCCUGCGUCACUGAGUCCCAGCAGAACACGGCGAGUUGUCGCAUGGUCACUUACCUCCCCGACCCAUCCCUGCCUCUGCCUUGUAUUGUAUUGUAUCUACUAGCAGGUUUCUUCCUAUGCUAGCUGGCUGUCUUGUGCAUCCCAUGUAUGAUGUAUCUUUAGUUCUUUACCGACUCAGAUAUUCUAUGCCACCAGUUUCUCAGCUACAGUAAUUAUUUGAUUUGUUAUGCCCCCUGUGGAAUUAAGUGCGUACAGUUUCACUUGUUUCCUAAUCAGAGUCACGUCCCUUGCAAUCGUUAUGUAUUAGUACUACUGAUUAACUUCCCGUUGAUUUCAUUUCUCUGAAGUUGCCAUGUAAUGUUCCUUCUCUGAACUAUACUAAAAUGGUCUGAUUAGUAAAGCCAACCGAACACUUCCAUUGCUUUAGCCAAACAAAAACUGCCCGGAGUCCACUGGAGAGUACUAUGGUGGAUGCGAAGCACAAUCAAGAGUCCACUGGAGAGGGGCAAUUUAAAUAUUUGCCCCCCCUUACGGAUGGCUCCUCUUCACUUGCCUCUCUUAUAAGUGCAAUUAAAGAUUUGCUCCAGGAAUCUCUUCGGUCCUAUAGAUUUGCCCAUUUUACCUACGUGGCAGU
rnacentral:lncRNA from 1 species